UACGUAGGGGGCUAGCGUUGUCCGGAAUCAUUGGGCGUAAAGCGCGUGUAGGCGGCUCGGUAAGUCGGGUGUGAAAUCUCGGGGCUUAACUCCGAAACUGCAUUCGAUACUGCCGUGCUUGAGGACUGGAGAGGAGACUGGAAUUUACGGUGUAGCGGUGAAAUGCGUAGAUAUCGUAAGGAAGACCAGUGGCGAAGGCGGGUCUCGUGGACAGUUCCUGACGCUGAGGCACGAAGGCCAGGGGGAGGCAAACGGG
rnacentral:rRNA from 1 species